rnacentral:rRNA from 1 species
UCCGCAUGGAAGGGCCAUCGCUCAACGGAUAAAAGCUACCCCGGGGAUAACAGGCUUAUCUCCCCCAAGAGUUCACAUCGACGGGGAGGUUUGGCACCUCGAUGUCGGCUCAUCGCAUCCUGGGGCUGUAGUCGGUCCCAAGGGUUGGGCUGUUCGCCCAUUAAAGCGGUACGCGAGCUGGGUUCAGAACGUCGUGAGACAGUUCGGUCCCUAUCCGUCGUGGGCGUAGGAAAUUUGAGAGGAGCUGUCCUUAGUACGAGAGGACCGGGAUGGACAUACCUCUGGUGUACCAGUUGUCGUGCCAACGGCAUAGCUGGGUAGCUAUGUGUGGACGGGAUAAGUGCUGAAAGCAUCUAAGCAUGAAGCCCCCCUCAAGAUGAGAUUUCCCAACUUCGGUUAUAAGAUCCCUCAAAGAUGAUGAGGUUAAUAGGUUCGAGGUGGAAGCAUGGUGACAUGUGGAGCUGACGAAUACUAAUCGAUCGAAGACUUAAUCAAAA